AGCAAGAUGCACUGGCUGGACAUGAGGGUGUGAGAUGAUGAUGAUGAUAAUCUCCUGACUCAUCCAUAUCAGUAUAAAGUGGACUUCAGUUCUCAGUGCUUGAGUCCUGCUGCAACCAUGAAGACACUGGCUGCCUUCCUUCUUGUGAGCCUCCUUGUCAUUUCCUUAGCGAUGCCUGCUGCAUCUGGUCCACAAAUCCCAAGAAGGAAGCCAGGGCUCUGCCCAUUUGUUGCUGGAAGGUGCCGGAUGCUUGAUCCACCGAACAACUGUGAUUCUGAUUACCAAUGUCCAAAUGAACUGAAAUGCUGUGAAGGAAUGUGUGGAAGAGACUGCGUCAAGCCAAUAUUUGUUUAAAUCUCUCGCAUCUCAUGGAUACCCAGCACCAACAUGGAUGUCCUAAACUUGAGAUUUCCAUGCUAUCACAAUUCUUCUAAUUAACCGAGGACUGGCACCAUAUUUAUACCUAUUAGGUAGAACUAGUUUUUCAUUCUUUCCUGGAAACCCAUUACAACUGAUUGCUUUUGGAGCAGCACCAGUCCAUGGAUCUGCACUUUGAGAAGCAUUUCCCUAUAUGAUGUUAUUUCACCUGUGGCAUUUGUGUGACUGCAAGCCCCAACCAAGUAUCAUCCCAAAUGAUUCAUUGAACUUUAUCUUCUGAAAUAAUAAACUCAGCCUGCCUGAGAUCACUAAUGGACACUCAUUAACAACAAUUUAUACAAGAAUCCUCUGUUAACUGAUGAAUAAUCCGAAUAUGGAAGAAAUAUAUCCAAGCCAAAACCUAGGGGUGAAUUAGUCAUUAUUUGAAGAUAGGGUUUCUAAAUAUUUUGAAGACCUAGCCCCAAAAGGAACAAAGAUAAAUGGUCUCUUCAUGUCUUGAGAAGUCAAGUAAAUGGUCAUUAUCUUUUAGGUUUACUUGUAAAUCUAAGUCUAUAAUGAUAUAGUUUGGGAUGGGCAUAGUGUAGCCCUUCAUAUAUUGUUGGACUACAAGUCCUAGUAAGUCUAGCAGUAAAACUGAUGGUCUGGAAUGCUGGUGGCUGUAAUCUGGAGGGUUGUAUCAUCCUCACUCCUGAAAUAGAUAAAUGAUGGAAACAAAUGAUUUCCUAAACAUUCCUGAGUUAAAGUUACUCGAUAUUUGAACAUAUCCUGAACAUUUAUUUACUUUCAUUUCCUUUUUUGGAAGUCGUAUUGGGGUCACUUUUGAACCAGCAUUAAUUUUCAUUUUCAUGUUAUGGUCUGUGCCAGAACAUAAGAAUGGAUCAUUCAUUAUGUGCAGGCAUAUGCCCUGUGCUGCUUGCAUCUAAUGUGAUUUAAGUGAUAAAAGCUCCUGUUUUAACUCUGUGCAACUUAUUUUUUUCUUAUAUAAUGUCACAUUAGCAGCACUGGGUAUGCAAUCAUGUUCUAUAAAUUACAAAACAUCAGUGACAGCAACAACUUUUCUGAUGAUGAUAUAAAAGACUAUUUAGUGGCAGUUUGCUAUACACAUAUGUUCUCAUGUUCUUUUGUCUGUGUUGGUUUUUUCAAUCCACCACCCCCUUUUCCUACUGCUAUCAUCUUUACCAAGCACUACAUUUCUCCAUUGGAAAUGGUUACCUAAUAUAUGAUGGAAGAUAUAUACUGAAUGUACUAUUAGUCAAUGGUUUUUUAAAAAAUGUUCAGGCAAAAUUUCUACAACCAGAAUACUAUAUUUUUGAUAUGAAUUCAAUUGCAGCCUGAAGUUUUUGGGCAUUGCCUUUCAGGCCAUUGUUUUCACUAUUGUACCUCUUACUGCAAACAAAAGGUUGUUACUGCAACAUGAAACAACCUUUUGGGAAAGGGAUAUGUAUUUUUCAUGAAAGGAGUUCUUAAAAUGAAAGUUAACACUGUAAUUGUAAUUUUGAACUUCAUGAAUCUUUGCCAAUAAAAUCUUUUCUGCAGCAGUUGCAAAUCU